rnacentral:rRNA from 1 species
CAGCAGCCGCGGUAAUACGGAGGGUGCAAGCGUUAAUCGGAAUUACUGGGCGUAAAGCGUGCGUAGGCGGUUCGUUAAGUCUGUUGUGAAAGCCCCGGGCUCAACCUGGGAAUGGCAAUGGAUACUGGCGAGCUAGAGUGUGUCAGAGGAUGGUGGAAUUCCCGGUGUAGCGGUGAAAUGCGUAGAGAUCGGGAGGAACAUCAGUGGCGAAGGCGGCCAUCUGGGACAACACUGACGCUGAGGCACGAAAGCGUGGGGAGCAAACAGGAUUAGAUACCCCGGUAGUCCCUGUCUUUUAUAC